ensembl:lncRNA
GAGGCGGGUAGCCUAGUGGUUAGAGUGUAGAGGCGGCAGGUAGCCUAGUGGUUAGAGUGUAGAGGCGGCAGGUAGCCUAGUGGUUAGAGCGUUGGUCCAGUGUCCAAAAGGUUGCUAGAUUGAAUCCCCGAGCUGACAAGGUAAAAAUCUGUCAUUCUGCCCCUGAACAAGGCAAUUAACCCACUGUUCCCUGGUAGACCGUCAUUGAAAAUAAGAAUUUGUUCUUAACUGACUUGCCUUGUUAAAUAUAUAUAUAUUUUUACAAGUGUGUGAAUUGGAAAUCUGAGGACGGGGUCACAGCCAAGGACUUACCCCUUAAAAUACUAAACACAUUCACAUACAAAGAUUUAUAGUCACACAUAAAUAUUCACAUAGUUUAAUAAGCUCGCACACACCCCCAGUAAGUGACCUCUGGUUCUGUUUAC